CCUACGGGAGGCAGCAGUAGGGAAUCUUCCACAAUGGACGAAAGUCUGAUGGAGCAACGCCGCGUGAGUGAUGAAGGUUUUCGGAUCGUAAAACUCUGUUGUAAGGGAAGAACAAGUACGAGAGGGAAUGCUCGUACCUUGACGGUACCUUGCGAGAAAGCCACGGCUAACUACGUGCCAGCAGCCGCGGUAAUACGUAGGUGGCAAGCGUUGUCCGGAAUUAUUGGGCGUAAAGCGCGCGCAGGCGGCCUUUUAAGUCUGAUGUGAAAGCCCCCGGCUCAACCGGGGAGGGUCAUUGGAAACUGGAAGGCUUGAGUACAGAAGAGAAGAGUGGAAUUCCAUGUGUAGCGGUGAAAUGCGUAGAGAUGUGGAGGAACCACCAGUGGCGAAGGCGACUCUUUGGUCUGUAACUGACGCUGAGGCGCGAAAGCGUGGGGAGCAAACAGGAUUAGAUACCCCUGGUAGUCCACGCCGUAAACGAUGAGUGCUAGGUGUUGGGGGGUUUCCGCCCCUNAGUGCUGAAGCUAACGCAUUAAGCNCNCGCGCGGNGGACGGCGCGAGNGUUGAACGUACGAAGAAGUAGACGGCGNGNGAGNGCGACGGACGACGACGAGGGAGGAGG
rnacentral:rRNA from 1 species